CGCCACAUUAACUUGCCUCACGUUAAGUCCAUCAUCGCAGGUACUCACCAGCUAGGACCGUCCUUACGGGUCUACUCCAACCCGGAUGCAUAACUCCGGAGCGCAUCGCCCGAGGGGGACGACCGCCCUCGAGCACGGAACUCAAUAGCAAGUAUGAUCAUAUUCUUAACUCAAAGGAUUAUAAGUUCAAUCUUGACUUUACACUAGCUCUAGUGUUCUUUACAUCACUUUAUGUUGCAAACUCAUGCAAUCACAUUCUUACAUUCUCAUUACUCUUGCUAACUCUAGCAAUCAUUAUUCUUUGCAUUUCUUUUACUUUUGCUAACUCUAGCAUUCCGUCUGCAUGCCCACUUUACUUUAGCUUUACUCGUCGUCAUUUUCAUCAUUCUUUACAUCACUUUAAUUCUUUACAUCACACUAACUCUAGUGUCAUUUCACAUUAGCUUUAUCGAAUGCCACUCGAUCUAUGUCAUUGUGCCACUCUGUUCUUUUGCUCACUUUAGGUACUCACAUUUUCCCUCAUGCAUACAUCUAGGGUUUUGACAUUAUUAGGUUCUCAACCAUCUCAUUAUGCAAGUUGUGCUCACAAUCCUGCAAUCAUCACAUUUCAUCAUUACUUUACCCUAAAAUGCAUGCAACAAUAUAUAACAUAUGCUCAAAGAAUGACACAUUAGGCAUAGAGAGAAUUUCAAUGAGUUUGAGAAGCACCACCCACCUCGUAGGCUUUCAAAGGUGCUCCGAUGAUUUUCUUGGAAUUUUUAGACUCUUCGUUCUUUACCUGCGGCAUAACGAAGCCAAAUUAGGCUAUUUUGCCCAUAACUUUACAUCGGCUUUUCGUAACGUUAAUCCGAGCGCACCAACGCGUCGGAAAUACCCCCAAUUAGGUUUUUUUGAGGGUCAAUUGCACUUAGAAACCUUUAUGAGCAAAAGCCCCAAUUUGGGUGCCCUAGCUCCAAUGUGUAUCAAAACCUAGGGUUUGAUCUCAUUGGGAAGCAAAAGUAGCUUCAUUACACUCUAAUUAGUCCAUUAGAACCAUUCUUAGGCUCUCCAAAUCCCUAGUUUGGAUUUCACCAUUAGAGGUGGUCCAAGCUCACCUAUAUAGCAAAACUAGGUUUUGAUCUCUUUAGAAGCAAAAGAAAGCUUCAAAACUACUAAAUAUUCCAUUAAAAACCAUUUCUAGGUUCAUUCAAACCCAUUUCUAGGGUUUUACUACACUAGGGUUCAAAGCUUACCUCAAGCUUUCCUUUUCUUCAAGCUAGAGAUGAAGGAGAAGGAGUUUCUUCACUUCUUCUUCUUCUUCUCCACUUUCUUCCUCUUCUUUUCCUUCUUUUCUUCCUUUCUUCUUCUUCUCUUUUGUCUUCUAGAGAGAGAGAGGGAGAGAAGAGAGUGUGAGAGGGUGAGGAAAUGAGAGAGGAAGGCUCCCUCAGCCCCAACAUAACCCUUGGGUUGCAAAAUUGCUAAUAAACCCCUCAACUUUUAUCUCUGUGCACUGCCUGGACUGGGCAGUUUUCGCAGGCAGAGACCGGUCUCCCCGAGCAGGGACCGGUCCCCGAAGGCCCGCACUGCGCAGCCAGAGCUGCCGCGCGCAAUGCAUCCGGUCCCUCCUUGGGGGACCGGUCUCUGGGGGACCGGUCUCUUAGACAGAGACCGGUUCCCGAGAGCUGUCCUUCCAGGACUUAGCCGAUUUUUCGGCUGUCUCAUUCUGCACGCGUUCGGGGACCGGUCUCUCCCACCAGGGACCGGUCCCCGAGAGCUCAAACUCUGCAGUUUUGCAGAAUUCGAUUCUUUAGCUCUCGAAAACCUUCCACAACUCACUUUUACUCAUUUUAACACCUUCGGACUUUCCGAAGUGUACCAUCCUCGCACUUUGGUCAAUUUGACUAAAGUUCGAUACUUUUAUUUUUCGAAUUUUCGGUAUAUUACAUCG
rnacentral:lncRNA from 1 species